AUUGAACGCUGGCGGCAUGCCUUACACAUGCAAGUCGAACGGUAACGGGCCUUCGGGUGCCGACGAGUGGCGAACGGGUGAGUAAUGUAUCGGAACGUACCUUUCAGUGGGGGAUAACGUAGCGAAAGUUACGCUAAUACCGCAUAUUCUGUGAGCAGGAAAGCAGGGGAUCGCAAGACCUUGCGCUGAUUGAGCGGCCGAUAUCAGAUUAGCUAGUUGGUGAGGUAAAGGCUCACCAAGGCGACGAUCUGUAGCGGGCCUGAGAGGAUGAUCCGCCACACUGGAACUGAGACACGGUCCAGACUCCUACGGGAGGCAGCAGUGGGGAAUUUUGGACAAUGGGGGCAACCCUGAUCCAGCCAUGCCGCGUGAGUGAAGAAGGCCUUCGGGUUGUAAACCGCUUUUGGCAGGAACGAAACGGUGCGGGCGAAUACCCUGUGCUAAUGACGGUACCUGCAGAAUAAGCACCGGCUAACUACGUGCCAGCCGCCGCGGUAAUAC
rnacentral:rRNA from 1 species